AAAAUAUUUUUGAAGAGAACUCGAAGCAUUAAAACACUUUAAAAAUGAUAUUGGUGAGAUUAUGUCGGUCCAUAGUAACCAUCAUCUCUCUAUUUGAAGGAAUCUCUUCUAAGUUCUAAGCGUUUGUCACAAAUUGAGUUUCUUAAUUUUCCCUUAAUCAACUAACCAACUAGGUUUGAUAUCAAAGUGAUAUUAGUAGAUUUUAUCAAACUGUUACCUGGAUCGUGUGAAAUAAGAGUAGUACCAAAUGCAUUACUACCAUUUUUUAUAAAAGUAGUAGUCCCAACAAAUACCUUUAAAGAUUUUAUUUUUUUGAAUUAUAUAUCUUUAUAUCUUAUAAAACCAUAUAAAUAAUUGAAUCGAGUCUCCGAGUAUUGAGAAGUACCUUAUAAACCUUAUAAAUAUUUUCAAGUUUAGUGUAGGGCAUUUAUGAAAAUGUACAGCUAAGUGGAAUAGUUUUUGAAAAUAUGUACAUUAAAAGGGAAAAUGUCCCUUUUUUGUCAAGGAAUUUUUUUUUAUAAAAAUGUUUUAGAGAGUCACAUUUCUUUCUGUUUUU
rnacentral:sRNA from 1 species